rnacentral:sRNA from 1 species
UGAGGCUUGGGUGAGGAAGGGUGAGAAGCCUUGACCAGGGUUCGACAACAGGCGCAGCCUGUUGGACAGACGCCGAGCCUGCGAGGCGGCUGCCCGAAGGGCGAGCGUAGCGAGUCAAUCCCUUCCUCACCGCCA